GCGGGGUAGAACAGUUUGGUAGUUUGUAAGGCUCAUAACCUCAAGGUCACGGGUUCAAAUCCUGUCUCACA
rnacentral:tRNA from 1 species